GCUUGCGAACUUAGUGUCCUUUAAAAGUCUCUGCUGCAGUCACAAGCAAGGUGGCUUAUCCGGUUGUCUUCCUGUGCUCAAACCUGUGGGAAACUGCUGUCCUGUGGUCUCCUCUCAAGGAGCAGCCAUCUGGAGUACAUGAAUCAACAUGUUUAUGAUAUCACUGGAAGAUCUUUAUGAGCUAUUGGUGAACUUUGGGUAAAAAGAAGCAUUCUUAAGCAACAGGAAUGGAUAGCUGGAGUAUUGCAACUUUCAAGCCUCUUACUAAAUGUCUUUCUCAGUGGUUUUAUUGUGUUAUAAGUCAGUCUCAGUCUCAUUAGAUUGCUUAAUGUUUGGUUCCAUAUGCCUGCCAUUUGCAGUCCUAUGAGUUGGAAGAAAGAGUCUAUUUCCUUCCUGGUUUGGAUGUAAUGGAGUUGAGGUAGAUUUCUUUGGAUGUAAAGCUUCUUUUAUUGUGCUGUUUAUUCAAUUACUCCCUCAACCCCCUUUGAAGCUUUCACAGGUUAGAAUUUCAUGACCUUGGAAAUGCCAAAUGACAAAGAUUCAAAUCCAAGGCUGGUGUGGGUCUUCCGGGCUGUGUGGCUGUGUUCUUGAAGUUUUGUUUCCUGACGU